AACGAACGCUGGCGGCAUGCCUAACACAUGCGAGUCGAACGAGACCUUCGGGUCUAGUGGCGCACGGGUGCGUAACGCGUGGGAACCUGCCCUUAGGUUCAGAAUAACUCCCCGAAAGGGGUGCUAAUACCGGAUAAUGUCUUCGGACCAAAGAUUUAUCGCCUUUGGAUGGGCCCGCGUUGGAUUAGCUAGUUGGUAGGGUAAAAGCCUACCAAGGCGACGAUCCAUAGCUGGUCUGAGAGGAUGAUCAGCCACACUGGGACUGAGACACGGCCCAGACUCCUACGGGAGGCAGCAGUGGGGAAUAUUGGACAAUGGGCGAAAGCCUGAUCCAGCAAUGCCGCGUGAGUGAUGAAGGCCUUAGGGUUGUAAAGCUCUUUUACCCGGGAUGAUAAUGACAGUACCGGGAGAAUAAGCUCCGGCUAACUCCGUG
rnacentral:rRNA from 1 species